UGCGGAGCUAACGCAUUAAGUGCCCCGCCUGGGGAGUACGGCCGCAAGGCUAAAACUCAAAAGAAUUGACGGGGGCUCGCACAAGCGGUGGAGCAUGUGGCUUAAUUCGAUGCAACGCGAAGAACCUUACCGGGGCUUGACAUGGUAGAAGUAGAAUCCUGAAAGGGUGACGAUCGGUAUCCAGUCCGAAGCUAUCACAGGUGUUGCAUGGCUGUCGUCAGCUCGUGUCGUGAGACGUUAA
rnacentral:rRNA from 1 species